GAUUUCUGGCUUGAUACAUUUUGCCGGCCACGGUUUCGUGUGUUAGUGCAUUAUGUUCUGGCCAUCCUUCCAAUUGCUACUUACUUUUCCUCACUGAUUUGUAAGUGGUAUUGGAUCUUUUACUUUGAAAAAAUUAGAGUGUUUCAAGCAGGCUUUAUGCUAUGAAUACAUUAGCAUGGAAUAAUAAUUUAGGACCUCGGUUCUAUUUUGUUGGUUUCUAGGACUGAAGUAAUGAUUGAUAGGGAUAGUUGGGGGUGCUAGUAUUCAGCGGCCAGAGGUGAAAUUCUCGGAUUCGCUGAAGACUAACUUACGCGAAAGCAUU
rnacentral:rRNA from 1 species